rnacentral:rRNA from 1 species
UACGAAGGGGGCGAGCGUUGUUCGGAAUCACUGGGCGUAAAGAGUGCGUAGGCGGCGAUAAAAGUUAGAAGUGAAAGCCCAGGGCUCAACCUUGGAAUUGCUUUUAAAACUAUAUUGCUCGAAUUCGGGAGAGGAUAGCGGAAUUGUCAGUGUAGCAGUGAAAUGCGUAGAUAUUGACAGGAACACCAGUGGCGUAAGCGGCUAUCUGGACCGACAUUGACGUGAGGCACGAAAGCGUGGG